CUGCGAAGGGGGGACGGAGAAGGCUAUGUUGGCCGGGCGACGGUUGUCCCGGUUUAAGCGUGUAGGCUGGUUUUCCAGGCAAAUCCGGAAAAUCAAGGCUGAGGCGUGAUGACGAGGCACUACGGUGCUGAAGCAACAAAUGCCCUGCUUCCAGGAAAAGCCUCUAAGCAUCAGGUAACAUCAAAUCGUACCCCAAACCGACACAGGUGGUCAGGUAGAGAAUACCAAGGCGCUUGAGAGAACUCGGGUGAAGGA
rnacentral:rRNA from 1 species